UGCGGAGGGAUCAUUAC
rnacentral:rRNA from 3 species